rnacentral:rRNA from 1 species
GGUUCAGGAUGAACGCUAGCGACAGGCCUAACACAUGCAAGUCGAGGGGCAGCACAAGGAGCAAUCUGAGGUGGCGACCGGCGCACGGGUGAGUAACACGUAUGCAACCUGCCUGUAAGCGGGGAAUAACCCGUUGAAAGACGGACUAAUACCGCAUAAUACUAAAUUACUGCAUGGUAAUUUAUUUAAACAUUUAUGGCUUACAGAUGGGCAUGCGCAUGAUUAGCUAGUUGGAGAGGUAACGGCUCCCCAAGGCAACGAUCAUUAGGGGUUCUGAGAGGAAGGUCCCCCACACUGGUACUGAGACACGGACCAGACUCCUACGGGAGGCAGCAGUGAGGAAUAUUGGUCAAUGGACGAGAGUCUGAACCAGCCAAGUCGCGUGCAGGAAGAAUGUUCCCUAUGGAUUGUAAACUGCUUUUGCAGGGGAAUAAAGUGCAUCACGUGUGAUGUUUUGUAUGUACUCUGCGAAUAAGGAUCGGCUAACUCCGUGCCAGCCGCAGC